CGAGUGGACGAGCGCGAAGGCUCAACGCCGGCGCAACGUAACCCUAAUCUUCUCUCUCUCUUCGUCACCGUUUUUCUCUCUGUAUUUGGAGUUCGAGAUCCGCCGAUCCAUGGCGAUGGAGGGUCGGUGGGAGAAGACCAUCUUCCGCUUCCGUAGGAUCUGGAGAAGGGUCGCAAUCCGCCUCCGUAUCCGUAGUACCGGGCUGCUGAAGCUGAAGAAAGACGUGAGAACCAGCGAGUACGACGACAUCCAUAUCCUAUGGGAUAUGAUUCAUAAGAAAGAAGAGCUGGAUCAGACACCGAGGAAAACAUGCUCGAACCUGUUGGAAUGGGCGAGGAGAGCUCCGAGUCCGAGUCUCCGCAGAAACUUUUGAAGAGAGAGAGAGGGAGAGAGAAGAAGAAGAAGACAGAGGUCCAAAACCCACAUGCUCCUCCUUUAUUACUCUCACUCUCGACCAUAUAGUUUGUAUUCUGAAACCUGUAACAAAGGCAUGGCUUCUUGAUAUUCAGCCACGCCUUCUUAUCUCUCUUUCUUAUAGCUUGGUUUUUUUAUGGUUGGAACAGGAAUGUCGGAUCUAGAGGCAAGAGUUUGAAGAUGU